rnacentral:rRNA from 1 species
CCUACGGGAGGCAGCAGUGAGGAAUAUUGGUCAAUGGGCUUAAGCCUGAACCAGCCAAGUCGCGUGAGGGAAGACUGCCCUAUGGGUUGUAAACCUCUUUUGUCAGGGAGCAACGCCGGCUACGUGUAGCCGGACUGAGAGUACCUGAAGAAAAAGCAUCGGAUAACUCCGUGACAGCAGCCGCGGUAAUACGGAGGAUGCGAGCGUUAUCCGGAUUUAUUGGGUUUAAAGGGGUCGUAGGCGGAAUGCCAAGUCAGCGGUAAAAUCGCGGGGCUCAACCUCGCUCCGCCGUUGAAACUGGCGUUCUUGAGUGGGCGAGAAGUAUGCGGAAUGCGUGGUGUAGCGGUGAAAUGCAUAGAUAUCACGCAGAACUCCGAUUGCGAAGGCAGCAUACCGGCGCCCAACUGACGCUGAAGCACGAAAGCGUGGGUAUCGAACAGGAUUAGAUACCCGAGUAGUC